rnacentral:lncRNA from 1 species
AAAUAUGCUAUUUAUUUAGUUAAUUUACUAUUAUAUUUUAAUUAUUUUUAUUUCGAUUUCGAAGUUUUAUAUUAUGAAUCGUUACUUAUUUCUCGUAUUUUAAAUAAACAGAUAAAAAGUGUACGAGUUGAAGAAAGGAGCGAAAACUGACAGAAAAGGAGCAAAAGUGGACAAAAAGACCACACAUGUGCAGCCCACACAAAAGCAAAGAAGUGGCGCCUGCCACCAAGGAAAAAUGGCAACUGCCAGCUCCUCCAAAGUGGCGCCCACCAGCCAACCAAAAGUGGCAACCGCCACAUGCACACAAAGUGGCACCCGCCACAUUCCUUUUUC